rnacentral:tRNA from 1 species
GCGCCGGUGGUGUAAUGGCGUAGAGCAUUCCCGCCAGAGGAAGGUGCGGGUUCGAGUCCCGCCUGGCACU